rnacentral:tRNA from 1 species
GCGAGAGUGGCGGAAUUGGUAGACGCGCUGGACUUAGGAUCCAGUUCCGGCAACGGAGUGGGAGUUCAAGUCUCCCCUUUCGCACCA